rnacentral:rRNA from 1 species
GACGAACGCUGGCGGCGUGCUUAACACAUGCAAGUCGAACGGUGAAGGGACCGGUUUUUGCUGGUUCUGGAUGAGUGGCGAACGGGUGAGUAACACGUGAGUAACCUGCCCCCUUCUUCUGGAUAACCGCAUGAAAGUGUGGCUAAUACGGGAUAUUCUGCGCCUGCUGCAUGGUGGGUGUGGGAAAGAUAUUGUUUCGGUGGGGGAUGGGCUCGCGGCCUAUCAGCUUGUUGGUGGGGUGAUGGCCUACCAAGGCGGUGACGGGUAGCCGGCCUGAGAGGGUGGACGGUCGCACUGGGACUGAGACACGGCCCAGACUCCUACGGGAGGCAGCAGUGGGGAAUAUUGCACGAUGGGCGCAAGCCUGAUGCAGCGGCGCCGCGUGAGGGAUGGAGGCCUUCGGGUUGUAAACCUCUUUCGCCAGUGAAGCAGGCCUGUCCCUUUUGUGGGUGGGUUGACGGUAGCUGGAUAAGAAGCGCCGGCUAACUACGUG